GAUGAACGCUGGCGGCGUGCCUAAUACAUGCAAGUCGAGCGAACGGACGAGAAGCUUGCUUCUCUGAUGUUAGCGGCGGACGGGUGAGUAACACGUGGAUAACCUACCUAUAAGACUGGGAUAACUUCGGGAAACCGGAGCUAAUACCGGAUAAUAUUUUGAACCGCAUUGUUCAAAAGUGAAAGACGGUCUUGCUGUCACUUAUAGAUGGAUCCGCGCUGCAUUAGCUAGUUGGUAAGGUAACGGCUUACCAAGGCAACGAUGCGUAGCCGACCUGAGAGGGUGAUCGGCCACACUGGAACUGAGACACGGUCCAGACUCCUACGGGAGGCAGCAGUAGGGAAUCUUCCGCAAUGGGCGAAAGCCUGACGGAGCAACGCCGCGUGAGUGAUGAAGGUCUUCGGAUCGUAAAACUCUGUUAUUAGGGAAGAACAUAUGUGUAAGUAACUGUGCACAUCUUGACGGUACCUAAUCAGAAAGCCACGGCUAACUACGUG
rnacentral:rRNA from 1 species